rnacentral:rRNA from 1 species
GAUGAACGCUGGCGGCGUGCCUAACACAUGCAAGUCGAACGAAGUUAAACGCUGAAUUGAUGGUAGCUUGCUAUUGGAUUUUCUUGUUUAACUUAGUGGCGGACGGGUGAGUAACGCGUGGGUAGCCUGCCUCAUACAGGGGGAUAACAGUUAGAAAUGACUGCUAAUACCGCAUAAGACCACAGUACCGCAUGGUACAGGGGUAAAAACUCCGGUGGUAUGAGAUGGACCCGCGUCUGAUUAGCUGGUUGGUGGGGUAACGGCCUACCAAGGCGACGAUCAGUAGCCGGCCUGAGAGGGCGACCGGCCACAUUGGGACUGAGACACGGGCCCAAACUCCUACGGGAGGCAGCAAGUGGGGAAUAUUGCACAAUGGGGGAAACCCUGAUGCAGCGACGCCGCGUGAAGGAAGAAGUA